GUAGCAGAGUAAUUCGGGGUGGGGCCCCAGGCAGGAAGACCAGGAUCGAGUCUAACGGAGAACCGCGGGGGAAUCUGAGCGCUGGGUGUGGCAGGCCGCGAGAGCGACGCGCACUUUCUCUGGCUCUGUCCAUUUCCCUUGCUUCCCUAAAGGCCACCGCAUCUCGCAGGUUCGCCCCCUCAUUUUAAAGGCUACGCUUUUGCUCUUCACCUAAACGAUCCCCGAAGCCAUGGCAAAGUAUACAAGAGGUACUGUAAAAGACUUCCCUGGAUUUGAUGCCAGAGGUGAUGCUGAAGCUCUUCGCAAGGCAAUGAAAGGAUUGGGUAAGCAGAAGCAAAAUAAUGUCCCAUUGAAACCUUUCCUGACAUACAGUUACUAUUUUGUGAAAAGGAAUGCGUACUCUCUGCAAUCAUCCCUCUCCUUCCUGUCUACCGUGAAUUUGGGCUCAAAUUUCAGUAGCAGAGAAUCUUCAUUGUGUAGGCUUCCUAAUGAUCUAGGAUGGGUGUUGGCAACGUAUGGUUACUGAGCCACAUGGAGCUCCUUCAUCCCCCUGCUGUGGCUCCCUGUUGGCUGACUGGCCCCAACCCUCACCCUCCCCUCCCAGUCACUCCUUGCGUAGCCUGAGAAGGUAAGGGAGAUAGUGGGUAUUGAAACUUGCUCCAUAUUCCAGAACAGAAGGAAAACGCCCCUGUACUUGCCUCUCAUCUUGCAGGCGCUUCUUCCGGAUACUGCGUGCAAUGUUCCCUCAAAUUUUUUUUCAGUGUGUGCAGAAAAGUAUAGUGUUUGAGCGGCAUG